rnacentral:rRNA from 1 species
GUGGGGAAUUUUGGACAAUGGGCGCAAGCCUGAUCCAGCAAUGCCGCGUGCAGGAAGAAGGCCUUCGGGUUGUAAACUGCUUUUGUACGGAACGAAACGGUCCUGGUUAAUACCUGGGGCUAAUGACGGUACCGUAAGAAUAAGCACCGGCUAACUACGUGCCAGCAGCCGCGGUAAGACGUAGGGUGCGAGCGUUAAUCGGAAUUACUGGGCGUAAAGCGUGCGCAGGCGGUGCUGUAAGACAGGCGUGAAAUCCCCGGGCUCAACCUGGGAAUUGCGCUUGUGACUGCAGUGCUGGAGUACGGCAGAGGGGGAUGGAAUUCCGCGUGUAGCAGUGAAAUGCGUAGAUAUGCGGAGGAACACCGAUGGCGAAGGCAGUCCCCUGGGCCUGUACUGACGCUCAUGCACGAAAGCGUGGGGAGCAAACAGGAUUAGAUACCCUGGUAGUCC